GGAUGAACGCUAGCGGGAGGCCUAACACAUGCAAGCCGAGCGGUAUUUGUUCUUCGGAACAGAGAGAGCGGCGUACGGGUGCGGAACACGUGUGCAACCUGCCUUUAUCAGGGGGAUAGCCUUUCGAAAGGAAGAUUAAUACCCCAUAAUAUAUUGAUUGGCAUCAAUUAAUAUUGAAAACUCCGGUGGAUAGAGAUGGGCACGCGCAAGAUUAGAUAGUUGGUGAGGUAACGGCUCACCAAGUCAGUGAUCUUUAGGGGGCCUGAGAGGGUGAUCCCCCACACUGGUACUGAGACACGGACCAGACUCCUACGGGAGGCAGCAGUGAGGAAUAUUGGACAAUGGGUGAGAGCCUGAUCCAGCCAUCCCGCGUGAAGGACGACGGUUCUAUGGAUUGUAAACUUCUUUUAUACUGGGAUAAACCUACCCUCGUGAGGGUAGCUGAAGGUACAGUAUGAAUAAGCACCGGCUAACUCCGUGCCAGCAGCCGCGGUAAUACGGAGGGUGCAAGCGUUAUCCGGAUUUAUUGGGUUUAAAGGGUCCGUAGGCGGAUCUGUAAGUCAGUGGUGAAAUCUCAUAGCUUAACUAUGAAACUGCCAUUGAUACUGCAGGUCUUGAGUAAAGUAGAAGUGGCUGGAAUAAGUAGUGUAGCGGUGAAAUGCAUAGAUAUUACUUAGAACACCAAUUGCGAAGGCAGGUCACUAUGUUUUAACUGACGCUGAUGGACGAAAGCGUGGGGAGCGAACAGGAUUAGAUACCCUGGUAGUCCACGCCGUAAACGAUGCUAACUCGUUUUUGGGUUUUCGGAUUCAGAGACUAAGCGAAAGUGAUAAGUUAGCCACCUGGGGAGUACGUUCGCAAGAAUGAAACUCAAAGGAAUUGACGGGGGCCCGCACAAGCGGUGGAUUAUGUGGUUUAAUUCGAUGAUACGCGAGGAACCUUACCAAGGCUUAAAUGGGAAUUGACAGGUUUAGAAAUAGACUUUUCUUCGGACAAUUUUCAAGGUGCUGCAUGGUUGUCGUCAGCUCGUGCCGUGAGGUGUUAGGUUAAGUCCUGCAACGAGCGCAACCCCUGUCACUAGUUGCCAUCAUUCAGUUGGGGACUCUAGUGAGACUGCCUACGCAAGUAGAGAGGAAGGUGGGGAUGACGUCAAAUCAUCACGGCCCUUACGCCUUGGGCCACACACGUAAUACAAUGGCCAGUACAGAGGGCAGCUACCAGGCGACUGGAUGCGAAUCUCGAAAGCUGGUCUCAGUUCGGAUUGGAGUCUGCAACUCGACUCUAUGAAGCUGGAAUCGCUAGUAAUCGCGCAUCAGCCAUGGCGCGGUGAAUACGUUCCCGGGCCUUGUACACACCGCCCGUCAAGCCAUGGAAGUCUGGGGUACCUGAAGUCGGUGACCGUAACAGGAGCUGCCUAGGGUAAAACAGGUAACUAGGGCUAA
rnacentral:rRNA from 1 species